rnacentral:rRNA from 1 species
UACAGAGGUCUCAAGCGUUGUUCGGAUUCAUUGGGCGUAAAGAGCUCGUAGGUGGCUUGUCGCGUCUGCCGUGAAAGCCCAUGGCUUAACUGUGGGUCUGCGGUGGAUACGGGCAGGCUGGAGGCUGGUAGGGGCAAGCGGAAUUCCUGGUGUAGCGGUGAAAUGCGCAGAUAUCAGGAGGAACACCGGUGGCGAAGGCGGCUUGCUGGGCCAGUUCUGACGCUGAGGAGCGAAAGCGUGGGGAGCGAACAGG